AAGUCGUAACAAGGUUUCCGUAGGUGAACCUGCGGAAGGAUCAUUAACACGUAUCCAACGUUAAAACCCCCGUGAACCUACAGCCCUAUUCUUGUGCGCCCGUUCGGACAGCAAUCCCUAGUAAAUCAUUGUUGAACAGAGUUUGAUUUAGGGACCUCUGUACGGAAGGACUGCGGUUUGCGUGCAAUUGAGUGGUAGCGCAAGCAUCCUGGUGCCUUUGAGACGGUUAUUGUGUAGAAGUGACGGUAACCUGUCAACGACGUGACUUCUAAACACGUUUGCUAGAGGUCCACACGACCGGCAACCGGGAUCCAGGCCGAAAGGUCCCUAACCACCCCUCGCAAGAAUUUAGCGUGCACCUAACGGUCGUACGCACCCCCAAACUGAACAACUGUUAACAAUGGAUAUCUUGGUUUUC
rnacentral:misc_RNA from 1 species